CCUACGGGGGGCAGCAGUGAGGAAUAUUGGUCAAUGGACGCAAGUCUGAACCAGCCAUGCCGCGUGCAGGAAGACGGCUCUAUGAGUUGUAAACUGCUUUUGUACGGGGGUAAACGCAGAUACGCGUAUCUGUCUGAAAGUAUCGUACGAAUAAGGAUCGGCUAACUCCGUGCCAGCAGCCGCGGUAAUACGGAGGAUUCAAGCGUUAUCCGGAUUUAUUGGGUUUAAAGGGUGCGUAGGCGGGCGGAUAAGUUAGAGGUGAAAGCCCGAGGCUCAACUUCGGAAUUGCCUCUGAUACUGUUAGGCUAGAGAGUAGUUGCGGUAGGCGGAAUGUAUGGUGUAGCGGUGAAAUGCAUAGAGAUCAUACAGAACACCGAUUGCGAAGGCAGCUUACCAAACUACGACUGACGUUGAGGCACGAAAGCGUGGGGAGCAAACAGGAUUAGAUACCCGGGUAGUC
rnacentral:rRNA from 1 species